UACAAUUAAUACCCGGCGCCCGCCCGCCGCUCCGGGACUCGCGCGCCCGCUCUCGGGGAAGGAGGCGCUCGCUGGGCCCUGACCCUCUUCGCAACUCGUCUGCUCUUGCAGCUGUGGCGACGGAGCUCCGGACAGACCCUCUUGAGCCCCUCGCCGAGAGCCAGCUCGCGCAAGGACCAGUGUUCCACGCCCCCGCCACCCUCGUCACCGCGGGGAACUCUGCGCCGGCGGCCGGCAGGCAGGUGGGCGAGCGCGCCGGCCAGAUUCUAGCUACAUCAGAAACUGGUCAUUUUCUAAAACUAAAGGAGAAAACUAGGAAGGGGUGAUGAAUUCUUUCUGAGUUUCGAGUUACAAAAUAAAACGUAAGUAUUGAUGAUUUCA
rnacentral:lncRNA from 1 species